rnacentral:lncRNA from 10 species
ACUGAGUUCAACUGCUCCCCUCGCCUGCCUGCUCCUGGCUCCUCUUCUAACCAAAAUCUGGAACCACUGGCUCUUCCUCUUCCCAUCAAGCCAUGUCCUGCCCUGCCCAUUUCUACAGGCUGUGAAACUGCCCAGGGCACUGCACUGGUGGGGCCCUGGGUCCCUGCCCUGGCACCUCACUAUAAGCCUCUCCUACCCCACUGGCAAGCUGAGGAGUAAGCCUGGAUGAAGGACUUGGGUCAUAGGGAAUCUCAGGGACAGGUACCCAAAAGGUGGCAUCAUGGAUGGUGAGGUUAAGGUCAAAGAUAGGGCUCUAAGGCUUGGAUUGGGCCUCACUCAUAGCCUGUGCUUGGGCCUGAGCUGAGCCCCUUUCCCUAUCAUUGACUGAAGCCUUUUCCUGAUCACACAAUCACACACUGAGCCUGGACCCUAGUUACAGAUUGAAUCCUGAUCCUUGGCCCUUGACUGAGUCAUACUCCGUGGCUGAGCCACAGGCUCACACAUGGAGCCAGGACAUCAAUCAUAGAUCAAGGCCUGGCACUGCUUACAGACUGAGCCCUGAUCAAUGGCCAAAGACUAAGCCCUGAUCCUGAUUCCAGGCUGAGCCCUGAUCCUGUUUCCAGGCUGAGUCCUGAUCUCUGGUCACAGAUAGGCCUUGCUCCCAGUCUCUGUGAGGGGUUGUGAAAUGCAUGUGUGUUUGUAGGGGGUGUGUGUGUAUGUGUAAAUAGAGUCUCAGCCUAGGCUUUGAGGCCACUUUGUGGGAGUCUUGAGAAAAGCCAGCUGAGAGCUGUGACGUUUGAUGGCUGAGAGCAUGUCUCCCUCUUGACAAAAUCAGAGCUCAGGGUCACAGCCCGGAUGGGGCAUCCAAGACAGCACUAGAAUGUUCCCAGCCUCCCGGGCCCCUUCCUCUCCAGGAGGCUGCCCUCAUUUUACCACCAAGGCGUCUCUGACAGAUGGUGGCUGUGCUCCGGAGGACAACCCCAGCUCCUGGUCACUGCCUUGACCUUCCUUCCACCUGACAUGCCUUGCCCUCCUCAAGGCCUGCCAGAUCUCUCCAUCCUUCAAGGCUUGGCCCUAAUGCCCCCUCCUCCAAGGAGAUGGCCCUGACUUCACCCUGGUAGAUGUGGUGCUCCCUUGCCGAAGGGUCUCAGCUGCUGCCCCACCCUGGUCAGGCCCCCACAUCCCCUGAGGGCAGAGAUCUGCAUGGUUUGUGUGGGGGUCCCAGGCCCAGUGGCUGUUCUCACGAUGGGAUAGAGCUUAACAUCACAGGAAGGCAGGAAGAGAGACAGACACACAGGAACGGGGACAUCGACGAGGUCAGAGAUGCAGCAGGGCAGGUCUGUGC